UGAUGGGCUUGUUUGGUUCAUCCAUUUUGGGUAUGAAAUGGGAAUCGGUUUGAUCAAAUCCGGUUAAUUUUGUUUGGUUCGCAUGAAUCGGUUUGGGAUUCUUAUUCCGGACUGGAAUGGGAAUGGCCCAUUAGCCUUCAACUUGAUUCCGGUCUUCUAGCCCGGAUUGAGAUUUCAUUCCGGAAGCCCACUAAGUUCUCGAAGCCCAUGUGACCAUCUCACCCUCCUUCUCUUCACCCCUUUCUCAUCAAAAAAAAAAAAAAACCUAUCCUCUCUCAAAACCCUAUCCCUAACCCACAUCAAUAAAAGUUUUUAAAAAUAAAUUUGAUAUUUUUUUUGGAAAACUUAUUAGAGAAUAGUAUUAUAUUUUUCAUAAAUUUUAAAUAAUAUAAAUUUAUAUUUGAGAGUAAAAUUAGUAUUAUAGUAUCCUAUAAUUUUUUUAGUUUAUACGAACCAAACAAUGAAAUGUGAAUAACUCAUUCCAAUUCUCAAUCCACAAAUAAACCAAACGUCUUCGGGGAGUGGGCCAUUCCAAUUACCAUUCCAAUUCAUUCUCAUUCCAUUAUCCAUUCCAAUUCCACCCUUGAACCAAACAAGCCCGAUAUGUUUAUGAAUGUAGUAGUAGAAUGAAAAUUUCUAUUGGACAUAGAAUUUUGUAAGCUGAACAUAAUCAAAGUAUCGUAUUACUAUUCAUGGUAUUUUCUUUCAUGGCCAUCUAGGUGAAUUGUAGCAUUUUAUACACUACCAAUUCACUAAGCAAUCCAAACCAAAUACAUGUAAAUAUAACAUCGAACUUGAUUGCUCUUUUAUGCCGGCCUUGGGUAGGAAGGAUUAGUGGUAGUGUGGGUCAUCUUGUCACGCCUCGACACCCGCCUAUUUAGUCGAAUUCGGGCACGCCGACAGACUGCCGAACGGAUAGAGUUUCCCCUGUACGUCCUAGGCGUCGCAAUCAAUACAAUUCACGAUGUUCCAACCAGGAAUAGAAAUCAAGCAUAUAUUGCAUAAGGAAGUAUCAAAAAGAUAAACAACUAAGUUAUUACAAGCAUUCACCAGCUUACAUUUUUACAUCACAGUUUUUUUUACAUUCAACUUCCAAAUUACAAUCUAAUUAUUACAAAUUUAUUACAAGUUUGAUAAAUUCUAGUUCUUUCCUUUCCCUAUACCCCUA
rnacentral:lncRNA from 1 species